GAUGAAGAACGUAGCGAAAUGCGAUAAGUAAUGUGAAUUGCAGAAUUCAGUGAAUCAUCGAAUCUUUGAACGCACAUUGCGCCCCCUGGUAUUCCGGGGGGCAUGCCUGUCCAAGCGUCAUUACAACCCUCAAGCUCAGCUUGGUAUUGGGCCCCGCCGACCCGGCGGGCCCUAAAGUCAGUGGCGGUGCCGUCCGGCUCCGAGCGUAGUAAUUCUUCUCGCUCUGGAGGUCCGGUCGUGUGCUCGCCAGCAACCCCCAAUUUUUUUCAGGUUGACCUCGGAUCAGGUAGGGAUACCCGCUGAACUUAAGCAUAUCAAUAAGCGGAGGA
rnacentral:misc_RNA from 1 species